UUUUGCAUUUUCUCCGCCACGUCAGCGUGCAAAACGACGCCGUUUUGGACCGAGCUCGCCGGAAAGUCGCCACGUCAGCCAUUUGGCUGGAUUUUCGCCGGAGUGGCACUUAAGUGUCCCAUUUUACUCCGAUGAUGGCACUUAAGUGUACCAUUUUAAAGUUAUGGCACUUAAGUGUCCCGGCGUGCCAAGUUAUGGCACUCCAGGUGUCC
rnacentral:lncRNA from 1 species